GGAUGUAGCUCUGUGGUAGAACACUUGUCUACCAUACACAGGGUUCUGGGUUCGAAUCCCAGCACCA
rnacentral:tRNA from 1 species